rnacentral:rRNA from 1 species
UACGUAGGGUGCGAGCGUUAUUCGGAAUUACUGGGCGUAAAGCGUGCGCAGGCGGUGUUGUAAGCCCGAUGUGAAAUCCCCGGGCUUAACCUGGGAACUGCAUUGGUGACUGCAUUGCUGGAGUAUGGCAGAGGGGGGUGGAAUUCCACGUGUAGCAGUGAAAUGCGUAGAGAUGUGGAGGAACACCGAUGGCGAAGGCAGCCCCCUGGGUCAAGAUUGACGCUCAUGCACGAAAGCGUGGGGAGCAAACAGG